rnacentral:lncRNA from 1 species
UCGUAUGCCGACUUUAAAUUUGAAUCACUCACGAAUCGCGAUUAUUUGAAAUUCCAACAAAAAAAUACAGACUACAGAACAGUCGUACAGAGUUCUAUUCAUACAAUUUAAUAUAAAAUCACCAUGGAUAAGUGUAUUCUUUUCAGUAAAACAUCCAAAUUAUCGCCUCGCCACAUUACGUACAUUUUCAUUUAUUUACAAAAAAUCAAUGAAAUAGAAGGAAAUAAUGGCUAAAAAUGUUCGAAUUAAAUGAUUGUCCCAAUAAUUUCUACCUGACAUAGAAUCUGCAGUGGGUAAUCAUUUCACAAUUAGUAAUGGUAAACAAAGCUCAGUAAAUUAGUAAACACGGUCAGAGGCUGUCUCAAAACAUAAUCCAAACCACUUGUCUGGG